GAUGAACGCUGGCGGCGUGCCUAAUACAUGCAAGUCGAGCGAACAGAUAAGGAGCUUGCUCCUUUGACGUUAGCGGCGGACGGGUGAGUAACACGUGGAUAACCUACCUAUAAGACUGGGAUAACUUCGGGAAACCGGAGCUAAUACCGGAUAACAUAUUGAACCGCAUGGUUCAAUAGUGAAAGGCGGCUUUGCUGUCACUUAUAGAUGGAUCCGCGCCGUAUUAGCUAGUUGGUAAGGUAACGGCUUACAAAGGCAACGAUACGUAGCCGACCUGAGAGGGUGAUCGGCCACACUGGAACUGAGACACGGUCCAGACUCCUACGGGAGGCAGCAGUAGGGAAUCUUCCGCAAUGGGCGAAAGCCUGACGGAGCAACGCCGCGUGAGUGAUGAAGGUCUUCGGAUCGUAAAACUCUGUUAUCAGGGAAGAACAAAUGUGUAAGUAACUGUGCACAUCUUGACGGUACCUGAUCAGAAAGCCACGGCUAACUACGUG
rnacentral:rRNA from 1 species